UUGAACGCUGGCGGCAUGCUUUACCCAUGCAAGUCGAACGGUAACAGGCCUUCGGGUGCUGACGAGUGGCGAACGGGUGAGUAAUGCAUCGGAACGUGCCCAGAGGUGGGGGAUAACGCAGCGAAAGCUGUGCUAAUACCGCAUGUGAUCUGAGGAUGAAAGCGGGGGACCAAGCAGCAAUGUUUGGCCUCGCGCCUCUGGAGCGGCCGAUGUCAGAUUAGGUAGUUGGUGGGGUAAAGGCCUACCAAGCCGACGAUCUGUAGCUGGUCUGAGAGGACGACCAGCCACACUGGGACUGAGACACGGCCCAGACUCCUACGGGAGGCAGCAGUGGGGAAUUUUGGACAAUGGGCGCAAGCCUGAUCCAGCAAUGCCGCGUGCGGGAAGAAGGCCUUCGGGUUGUAAACCGCUUUUGUACGGAACGAAAAGGAUCUGGCUAAUACCUGGGGCUGAUGACGGUACCGUAAGAAUAAGCACCGGCUAACUACGUG
rnacentral:rRNA from 1 species